GACGAACGCUGGCGGCGUGCCUAAUACAUGCAAGUCGAACGCACUCUCGUUUAGAUUGAAGGAGCUUGCUCCUGAUUGAUAAACAUUUGAGUGAGUGGCGGACGGGUGAGUAACACGUGGGUAACCUGCCCUAAAGUGGGGGAUAACAUUUGGAAACAGAUGCUAAUACCGCAUAAACCUAACACCGCAUGGUGUAGGGUUGAAAGAUGGUUUCGGCUAUCACUUUGGGAUGGACCCGCGGUGCAUUAGUUAGUUGGUGAGGUAAAGGCUCACCAAGACCGUGAUGCAUAGCCGACCUAAGAGGGUAAUCGGCCACACUGGGACUGAGACACGGCCCAGACUCCUACGGGAGGCAGCAGUA
rnacentral:rRNA from 1 species